UUUUUGGCGUUUUCUUACAAAUAAAAAAAAAAAUGGAGUGAAGAAAACAAUGCUGCGGAGUUGAGCUGCCCCAGACUUUCUCACGGGGAAGGGAGAGAAGGGGCUGGCUCCUUUGGCUGCAUUGUCCGUGCCUUUCUCCUGCGACUUUCCGUCCUGCAGCCCCGGGGGGACGAGAUGUCCCCGAGCCCUGUUUCUGGUGGGGGGAGGCAUCAGCCUUAGGCGCUGUGCUUUCCGCUUGCUGUCCUAACAUUGCAGCGUAAAUGCCACCAGGGGCCAGAGCGUGUGGACCCAACGUGCCAAAGUGUGCAAGGCACUUCACAUGAGACUUCGUCCCUGCCUGAGACAGUUUACAGUCUGAAUUUCAGACAUGACACAAGAGCAGGCUGCUAACUUGAAGCAAGACUUCUGCAUGUCUGCUCUUCCCUGGGCAAGGGUGUGCAGCCCCGUCACAUCCCCCACUAAGUUUCCAUAUAUGUGUCAGUUAUAGAUAAGGAGGGAUUCAAAGACACCAAUGAGAGGGGCGAGGCCAUUGUCCACCACCACAUCAUGGAUCAGAGGAAUGGAGAUCGUAAUCCAGCAGCAGCCCGAGGAACAUUAGUGUGUAUUUUUACCCUUUCUGGUGUAUUUGCAUGAAAUCUUGUACCCUAAUGAGGCUCUUGGAUUGAUUUCCCUUUUAAGACCUUGUGGGAAAUGGUUAUAGCGAGCAUUUCAUUUUUUGUA